rnacentral:rRNA from 1 species
GAACGCUGGCGGCGUGCUUAACACAUGCAAGUCGAACGGAAAGGCCCUGCUUUUGUGGGGUGCUCGAGUGGCGAACGGGUGAGUAACACGUGAGUAACCUGCCCUUGACUUUGGGAUAACUUCAGGAAACUGGGGCUAAUACCGGAUAGGAGCUCCUGCUGCAUGGUGGGGGUUGGAAAGUUUCGGCGGUUGGGGAUGGACUCGCGGCUUAUCAGCUUGUUGGUGGGGUAGUGGCUUACCAAGGCUUUGACGGGUAGCCGGCCUGAGAGGGUGACCGGCCACAUUGGGACUGAGAAACGGCCCAGACUCCUACGGGAGGCAGCAGUGGGGAAUAUUGCACAAUGGGCGGAAGCCUGAUGCAGCAACGCCGCGUGCGGGAUGACGGCCUUCGGGUUGUAAACCGCUUUCGCCUGUGACGAAGCGUGAGUGACGGUAAUGGGUAAAGAAGCACCGGCUAACUACGUG